CAAACAAGCUCAACAUACCGAAGCAAAACAACAAUAUUUUAUUUUAAUAAAUCUGUUCAAUUAGUAUUUUUUAUCCUAAAUAUCUGUCCCUUUUGUAAUGAAGACAAAGUUGCAUUCUAUAUUCAUUCACUAUCCUGUAAAUCUGAGUAACAGUAAAUCUUAUGGAAGAGAGCUUAAAAAGCUCUGUAUUUGGUUAAGACAGUAAUUCUGCCUAAAAAGUGAAGUGGUCUCAAAACAGCAACCAUCAUCUUUUGUGAAAAAUGUUUCAAUUUCCAAGCAGUUCUAAUGUUUCCAUUCAAAAUGGACUCCUUGAUAGGAAGUUAAUGAAAGCAUGUCAUGUGGAAUACCUGGACCACUUUGUAAAGCAUGGAAAGAACAAUAGGAUUAUGUCCUGAAGAUUUUAUAACAGGCAAAACAAGUACUAAAAAAAAAAAAAAAAAAAAAAAAAAAAAAAAAAAAAGAAAGAGAAAGGAAAACAAAAAAGAUCUCUAGCAGUGCAGAGCAGGACAAAGCUGAGCAGCAGUUGGAUUAGUGAAUUUGUUUUUAAAGCACCUCCCUUUUCUGCACUUCCACCCUUGCUGCCUGCCCCACUACCUUGACCUCGUUCCCUUUCCAGUUUCAGAAGAGUCGCCCUCCUCCUUUCCCUCCCGACCUGCAUUCCUCAGUGAUGGCUGGAAUGCACGAUAAAGACAUCAGUAAACCCAGCCAGCUUGCCUAAGAUCGGGAGAUAAGGAGGGUAAUGUUAGCAAAUUAACUGAUUGGUAUAAAACAAAAGAGGGAAAAAAAGUUGUCAGGAAACUGGGAACUUUUGAACUCAUUUAAACAAAGAAGUGGUAGAGGAGCGGGCGUGUCUGUCGCAAGUGCCUACUUCGCAGGAGCCAAGCCAGAGCGCUACGACAGCUAGAUGUAGGGAGCAGAGCUAUCUGAGGAGCAGGAGUCGCUCCGUUCAGAUGGAGCACACAAUGGGACUCUGGUCUGCCACUUCCACCCCUGUACUUAGUAGCCGCAGCUUGCUCCAGCCUGCUAAGGGACAAUGCAACCUCUUUGUGCGCUGCCUUUGUGAUUACACUUUGAAGGGCCCUGGGCUUGUGGAGAAGCUGUGUUAUGCUGAAAAUAAUUGCAGUAGGACUUUCAGGCCAGACUUGGGGCUGGAAAACAACUGUAUAUGAACCAGGCAAACCAAGGAGGGGAGGGUCUGUGAAAGACACCUGCCAAGAGUGUGGUUCUGAGCUGGUCUGUAAAGGAAUAUCAUGACAAAGAUGUAAAAGGUAGUACUAUUGGUGUGAAGAGAUGCAUCUGCUGGAACCUGCCCUGCAAAUGUUUGCUCUGUCUGCAUAAUGGCACCAUGUGCGACAUUCCUUUUAAUGUCUAAUUGAAAAGAUGCACAAGCAUACAAAUUUCUGAAUUCAAAGCAUCACCAUGUCCUGAGGACUGUGAAAACUGAUGAGCAGAGGAAAGUCUGAAGCCACUUUGGGCAGUCUGUGUCUACCUACUUCAUCCCAGCAGGUAAAGAUCAGCUGGCCAUCAGCACAGCUCUGCCAAACUAAAACUCCCAAAGGUUGUGAUGAUAAUUAACUCUAAAAAGUUGCCUUUUCCUUAAAAUACAUGUUUGAAGAAACAAUUAUUUCAGAAUA